UGUCCAGGGAUGGGAAUCGAACCCACGCUUACAGGGCAGAUGCUAUGUCCACUAGGCUACCUUGGAC